rnacentral:rRNA from 1 species
GACGAACGCUGGCGGCGUGCCUAAUACAUGCAAGUCGAACGCAGUGGGGACGGGUGAGUAACACGUGGGUAACCUCCCAUCAGAGGGGAUAACACUUGGAAACAGGUGCUAAACCGAUACUGAUGGAUGGACCCGCGGUGCAUUAGCUAGUUGGUGAGGUAACGGCUCACCAAGGCCACGAUGCAUAGGCGGCCUUGGGGGGGGAUCGGCCAAACUGGGAAUGAGAAACGGCCCAGAAUCCCACGGGAGGCAGCAGUAGGGAAUACUUCGCAAAGGACGAAAGUCUUACCGAGCCAAGCCGCGUGAGGGAAGAAGGUUUUCGGAUUGGUAAACCCUGGUGGUAGAGAAGCGGUAUUCAACCCGGAAGCCACGGCUAACUACGUGCCAGCAGCCGCGGUAAUAC